rnacentral:lncRNA from 1 species
GGGGGACCAUGUAGUAGAGGUGAGGUCCAUGGUUGGGGUCAGGCUGACCCAGGUUCCAGCCCCAGCCUGGCUCCAGCGUGACUCUGUGACUUCCAGCUAGUCAUUUCCUUUAUUCACCCAUUAAUCCCGUCAGAUGUUUAUGAAGCAUCUUCUCUAGCAGAGUCAUGGUGUCUGUAGCUAUAAAAUGUCAAGAACAGCAUCACUUGCUGGGCUGGUGUAAGGACUGCAGAGACCAGGUAAGGAAUGCAUCCAGACUCUUCUCUCAUGCCUCUCUAGGAGAGUGGGGGAAGGGAAAGGGAUGGGAGAGGGGUCUGAUCUCAAAGGGAUACUUCUAGGUUAUGGGGCUUCUGGUCUCUGGGGAAUUUCUCUGUGAAGAGCCCCACUCGCCACAGCCCCCAUCCGGGCGGAAAUCCUCGACUCUCAGGACAGACACAAAUCCCUCCUGGGAGCCAUUUGUUGUUUUUAGCUGGUUUGGGGGCUCAGCUCCUGCCCAGCCGGAGAUCAUUAACACUCCAGGAAUGUGGCUUCCCCCGGCCCCAUCCCCACCCCCUGGCCCCUAUGGCCUCCCUCCUCCCACUCAGGCCAUGGUUAGAAGGAGGGUCAGAAUGCUAGGGGGAUGAGGACAGUGAUGAGUGACCCUUUCUCAAGGCCCCAGGGUCAUUUUCAGAAUGGAGCUCCCUCGGCCUCCCCGAGCUGCUGCUGCUCCUGCCAUCUCACUCACACCCCUGCCACUGAUUAGCCCCUUAAACAGGAAAGUCUCAGCCACUCCCAAAAGGCCUAACCCCCAUGUGCCCUUGCUUCCCUGCAGUACCAGGUGUCUCUCAGGGUGGUGGCUAAAAAAUGUUCAUUCCCUUCUUAUGCCCCUCUCCAAGGUAGCUGCCGACAAUCUUGUCUAAGCUCAAGAACAAGAACAUCUCAGAAUCUGGGGCCCCACCUCACCCCGGUUCCCUGGACCUCGUCAGGAGGGUGAAGAGAAAGGAGAAAGAAAAGGUAGACCUCCUUGAAGACCCCAUACCAAUCCAGUGAGGAGGUGAGGGAAGGAGGCUUUUCUCCAUCCCUGGCCUCCUGGGCUGGUCCUCCUCCUCUUCACAUGUCAGCGUGGCAGAGGAGGGACAGCACACCAGGGCCCCCACUCAGUCCUGGGGUGAACUGCAGGAAGCUCAGUGUCAGGGAAUAGGGGGCAAGACAGGACACUGAGACCUAAGUGGGUCAGCUGGCAGCCACUGGAGGCCUUAAGUAGAGAAGUGGACCCAUCUGGCCAUAGAGUAGAGCAUGUUGUGGACACAGGCAAGUCUGCUGGGGAGAGCAGGAGAGGGUUAACGUGGGGGAAGAUGGAACCUAGACUAUGUGGUGCAACGGGGAUAGAGGGAAUAAAGAGAUGCAAGACUGCUCAGCUCUUGGUGACUGAUGGUGGUCAAGGUGGCAGAGAGAAGUCAGAGAUGGCCCCAGGUUCCUGGCUUAGGCAGCUGAGGACAUGGAUGGUGUGCCAUUUUUCAGAGCUUAGGAACAGAAAAAGAAGACCAAAUCUACAGGGAAAGUAAUACAAUCUGUUUUACAGGUUAUUAGAGGCUCCUGUGAAAGAGCCAAGUUGAGAUGUUGGGGGACAGUUGGGUGUGCUUGUCGGGAGCUCAGGAGGUAGGUGGGGACUAGAUGUUUAGCUUGGUGUGUUAUCCAUUUAUUGAGAGCACUUGGAGCUAAAGGAGCAGUGGCAACCACCCAGGGGGGAGUGUGUCGGGUGAGAAGAGGGAGACCCAGGAUGGAACCUUGAGGAACCCCCACCUCUGGGGCCUGGCCAGAAACAGGCUGCUAAGAAGA